rnacentral:rRNA from 1 species
UACGGAGGAUGCGAGCGUUAUCCGGAUUUAUUGGGUUUAAAGGGUGCGUAGGCGGACGCUUAAGUCAGCGGUAAAAUUGCGGGGCUCAACCUCGACGAGCCGUUGAAACUGGGUGUCUUGAGUGGGCGAGAAGUACGCGGAAUGCGUGGUGUAGCGGUGAAAUGCAUAGAUAUCACGCAGAACUCCGAUUGCGAAGGCAGCGUACCGGCGCCCAACUGACGCUGAAGCACGAAGGCGUGGGUAUCGAACAGG